UACCUACGGGGCGCAGCAGUAGGGAAUAUUGCUCAAUGGGGGAAACCCUGAAGCAGCAACGCCGCGUGGAGGAUGAAGGUUUUCGGAUUGUAAACUCCUUUUAUCAGGGACGAUAAUGACGGUACCUGAAGAAAAAGCUCCGGCUAACUACGUGCCAGCAGCCGCGGUAAUACGUAGGGAGCGAGCGUUGUCCGGAAUUACUGGGUGUAAAGGGAGCGUAGGCGGGACGGCAAGUCAGAUGUGAAAACUGAGGGCUCAGCCUUCAGACUGCAUUUGAAACUGCUGUUCUUGAGUGAAGUAGAGGU
rnacentral:rRNA from 1 species